AACCUAGCACACCUGCGGUGUGUACCUGCGGAAGGAUCAUUACACAAUACAAUAUGAAGGCUGUCCGCAGCUGGAGUAUUUUAUUACCCUUGUCUUUUGCGCACUUGUUGUUUCCUGGGCGGGUUCGCUCGCCACCAGGACCACCAAAUAAACCUUUUUUAUGCAGUUGCAAUCAGCGUCAGCACAAACAAUGUAAAUCAUUUACAACUUUUAACAAUGGAUCUCAGAUCGGAAGAGCAC
rnacentral:misc_RNA from 1 species